rnacentral:rRNA from 1 species
CCAUGAUUCAGCGGCGGACGGGUGAGUAAUGCCUAGGAAUCUGCCUGGUAGUGGGGGACAACGUUUCGAAAGGAACGCUAAUACCGCAUACGUCCUACGGGAGAAAGUGGGGGAUCUUCGGACCUCACGCUAUCAGAUGAGCCUAGGUCGGAUUAGCUAGUUGGUGAGGUAAAGGCUCACCAAGGCGACGAUCCGUAACUGGUCUGAGAGGAUGAUCAGUCACACUGGAACUGAGACACGGUCCAGACUCCUACGGGAGGCAGCAGUGGGGAAUAUUGGACAAUGGGCGAAAGCCUGAUCCAGCCAUGCCGCGUGUGUGAAGAAGGUCUUCGGAUUGUAAAGCACUUUAAGUUGGGAGGAAGGGCAGUAAGCUAAUACCUUGCUGUUUUGACGUUACCGACAGAAUAAGCACCGGCUAACUUCGUGCCAGCAGCCGCGGUAAUACGAAGGGUGCAAGCGUUAAUCGGAAUUACUGGGCGUAAAGCGCGCGUAGGUGGUUCGUUAAGUUGGAUGUGAAAGCCCCGGGCUCAACCUGGGAACUGCAUCCAAAACUGGCGAGCUAGAGUAUGGCAGAGGGUGGUGGAAUUUCCUGUGUAGCGGUGAAAUGCGUAGAUAUAGGAAGGAACACCAGUGGCGAAGGCGACCACCUGGGCUAAUACUGACACUGAGGUGCGAAAGCGUGGGGAGCAACAGGAUUAGAUACCCUGGUAGUCCACGCCGUAAACGAUGUCGACUUGGAGGGUUGUGCCCUUGAGGCGUGGCUUCCGCAGCUAACGCAUUAAGUCGACCGCCUGGGGAGU